UGGGGAAUUUUGGACAAUGGGGGAAACCCUGAUCCAGCAAUGCCGCGUGUGCGAAGAAGGCCUUCGGGUUGUAAAGCACUUUUGGCAGGAACGAAACGGUGCCGAAUAAUACUCGGCAUCACUGACGGUACCUGCAGAAUAAGCACCGGCUAACUACGUGCCAGCAGCCGCGGUAAUACGUAGGGUGCAAGCGUUAAUCGGAAUUACUGGGCGUAAAGCGUGCGCAGGCGGUUCGGAAAGAAAGAUGUGAAAUCCCAGGGCUCAACCUUGGAACUGCAUUUUUAACUCCCGAACUAGAGUAUGUCAGAGGGGGGUGGAAUUCCACGUGUAGCAGUGAAAUGCGUAGAUAUGUGGAGGAACACCGAUGGCGAAGGCAGCCCCCUGGGAUAAUACUGACGCUCAUGCACGAAAGCGUGGGGAGCAAACA
rnacentral:rRNA from 1 species